UACGAAGGGGGCUAGCGUUGCUCGGAAUCACUGGGCGUAAAGCGCACGUAGGCGGAUCCUUAAGUCGGGGGUGAAAUCCUGGAGCUCAACUCCAGAACUGCCUUCGAUACUGAGGAUCUCGAGUCCGGGAGAGGUGAGUGGAACUGCGAGUGUAGAGGUGAAAUUCGUAGAUAUUCGCAAGAACACCAGUGGCGAAGGCGGCUCACUGGCCCGAUACUGACGCUGAGGUACGAAAGCGUGGGGAGCAAACAGG
rnacentral:rRNA from 1 species